GAAACCGACCUGGCUCACGCCGGUUUAAACUCAGAUCAUGUAAAAUUUUAAAGGUCGAACAGACCUAUCUUAUUAGCUUCUACACCAAUAAUUAAUUUUAAUCCAACAUCGAGGUCGCAAACUUUUUCUUCGAUAAGAACUCUCAAAAAAAUUACGCUGUUAUCCCUGAGGUAAUUUACUCUUUUAAUCUUACUUAAAGGAUCAAAAAUAUACAAAUUAAUAUUUUAAUAAAAAAAAAGUUUACUCAAUUUUUUCAUCACCCCAACAAAAUAAAUAAUCAAGUAUCCCACCCUUCUAUACUCCUCUACAAAAGAUACCUUUUACUUAUUAAACUCUACAGGGUCUUCUCGUCUUCUAUACAAAUUUAAGCUUUCUCACUUAAAAAUAAAGUUCUAAUAAACUUCACUAGAGACAGCUACUUUUUCAUCAAACCUUUCAUACAAGCUUCCAAUUAAAAAACUAAUGACUAUGCUACCUUUGCACGGUCAAUAUACCGCGGCCAUUUAAUUCCAUCAGUGGGCAGGCCAGACCUGAAAUCAUAAUCAACAAGCCAUGUUUUUAAUAAC
rnacentral:rRNA from 1 species